rnacentral:rRNA from 1 species
GAUGAACGCUGGCGGCGUGCCUAAUACAUGCAAGUCGAGCGAACGGACGAGAAGCUUGCUUCUCUGAUGUUAGCGGCGGACGGGUGAGUAACACGUGGAUAACCUACCCAUAAGACUGGGAUAACUUCGGGAAACCGGAGCUAAUACCGGAUGAUAUUUUGAACCGCAUGGUUCAAAAGUGAAAGACGGUCUUGCUGUCACUUAUAGAUGGAUCCGCGCUGCAUUAGCUAGUUGGUAAGGUAACGGCUUACCAAGGCAACGAUGCAUAGCCGACCUGAGAGGGUGAUCGGCCACACUGGAACUGAGACACGGUCCAGACUCCUACGGGAGGCAGCAGUAGGGAAUCUUCCGCAAUGGGCGAAAGCCUGACGGAGCAACGCCGCGUGAGUGAUGAAGGUCUUCGGAUCGUAAAACUCUGUUAUUAGGGAAGAACAUAUGUGUAAGUAACUGUGCACAUCUUGACGGUACCUAAUCAGAAAGCCACGGCUAACUACGUGCCAGCAGCCGCGGUAAUACGUAGGUGGCAAGCGUUAUCCGGAAUUAUUGGGCGUAAAGCGCGCGUAGGCGGUUUUUUAAGUCUGAUGUGAAAGCCCACGGCUCAACCGUGGAGGGUCAUUGGAAACUGGAAAACUUGAGUGCAGAAGAGGAAAGUGGAAUUCCAUGUGUAGCGGUGAAAUGCGCAGAGAUAUGGAGGAACACCAGUGGCGAAGGCGACUUUCUGGUCUGUAACUGACGCUGAUGUGCGAAAGCGUGGGGAUCAAACAGGAUUAGAUACCCUGGUAGUCCACGCCGUAAACGAUGAGUGCUAAGUGUUAGGGGGUUUCCGCCCCUUAGUGCUGCAGCUAACGCAUUAAGCACUCCGCCUGGGGAGUACGACCGCAAGGUUGAAACUCAAAGGAAUUGACGGGGACCCGCACAAGCGGUGGAGCAUGUGGUUUAAUUCGAAGCAACGCGAAGAACCUUACCAAAUCUUGACAUCCUUUGACAACUCUAGAGAUAGAGCCUUCCCCUUCGGGGGACAAAGUGACAGGUGGUGCAUGGUUGUCGUCAGCUCGUGUCGUGAGAUGUUGGGUUAAGUCCCGCAACGAGCGCAACCCUUAAGCUUAGUUGCCAUCAUUAAGUUGGGCACUCUAAGUUGACUGCCGGUGACAAACCGGAGGAAGGUGGGGAUGACGUCAAAUCAUCAUGCCCCUUAUGAUUUGGGCUACACACGUGCUACAAUGGACAAUACAAAGGGCAGCGAAACCGCGAGGUCAAGCAAAUCCCAUAAAGUUGUUCUCAGUUCGGAUUGUAGUCUGCAACUCGACUACAUGAAGCUGGAAUCGCUAGUAAUCGUAGAUCAGCAUGCUACGGUGAAUACGUUCCCGGGUCU